AUUGAACGCUGGCGGCAGGCUUAACACAUGCAAGUCGAGCGGAGAUGAGGUGCUUGCACCUUAUCUUAGCGGCGGACGGGUGAGUAAUGCUUAGGAAUCUGCCUAUUAGUGGGGGACAACAUCCCGAAAGGAAUGCUAAUACCGCAUACGUCCUACGGGAGAAAGCAGGGGAUCUUCGGACCUUGCGCUAAUAGAUGAGCCUAAGUCGGAUUAGCUAGUUGGUGGGGUAAAGGCCUACCAAGGCGACGAUCUGUAGCGGGUCUGAGAGGAUGAUCCGCCACACUGGGACUGAGACACGGCCCAGACUCCUACGGGAGGCAGCAGUGGGGAAUAUUGGACAAUGGGGGGAACCCUGAUCCAGCCAUGCCGCGUGUGUGAAGAAGGCCUUAUGGUUGUAAAGCACUUUAAGCGAGGAGGAGGUUACUGAGACUAAUACUCUUGGAUAGUGGACGUUACUCGCAGAAUAAGCACCGGCUAACUCUGUGCCAGCAGCCGCGGUAAGAC
rnacentral:rRNA from 1 species